rnacentral:tRNA from 1 species
GCCCCGGUAGCACAGUUGGUUAGUGCGACUGGCUUGUAACCAGUAGGUCGUGGGUUCGAAUCCCACCCGGGGCU